rnacentral:lncRNA from 1 species
GAGUCACCCUACUAUACAGCAGAAAAAAAAUAAUGUAUUCAGGAAAUAAAAAUAAAUAAAUGAAAUUAAACUAAAAAGUAAAUAUAAUUCUCUCAGUAUAAUCAUCUAAUGUAUGAGGUAACUUCGUCACCAGCCUUUACUUAUUGUAAAACUGAUUUUACCGGCUUUGCCUUUUUAAAAAGAACUUUCAUCAUUAAUAGCUUCUAAAUUAUCUAAAUUUUUACAAGUUCCUGCUGUGGCACAGUGGGUAAAAAGUCUGACUAUAGCUGCUUGGGUUGGUGUGGAGGUGCAGGUUCCAUCCCCAGUCCAGUGCAGUGGGUUAAAGGGUUCAUAGUUGCCAUAGCUGCAGUGUAGCCCUCAGCUGUGGCUUGAAUUCAAUCCCUGGCCCGGGUACUUCCAUAUGCCACAGGUGCGGCCAUAAAAAAUUAAAAAUAAAUAAGUAAAUUUUUAUAAAGCUUCUUCAGUAAAUAAAGUAUAUUCUUCUUCUUUUUUUCCCCCCAUUAUUACUUACCAGAGAGAGAGAAAGUACUUUCAUAAGAAGGUGCCUUAUGUGAAUCCCAGAAAUAGCCUUGCAUCUCCUUUUCCUGUAUCCCAUCAAUUCCCUGCAAUUACUCUCCCAAACAUUCAAAACAGAAAGAAGCAUCAUAAUGCUGUAUAUUCCAUUUCUUUAAGACAACUCCACAAGUACAUAUUCCAGUUGUAUUUUCCCCUAUAUAAAUACAUCUUUUGGCCAGUUUCCUACUCUAAGAAACAUGGAUUGAUGUAAAGUACUAAGUCACAUCAAGUAUGUAAAGGUAUUCAUUUCCAUGUCUGGAAAGUUUAUAGAUCCUUUUAAAUUUUAUAUCUAAUAUUUUAUGAAUCUAGAUUAAUUCUUUUUUUUAAAGUCUAAUUUUUGAAAUUGCAUUUAAAAAGAGCAGGACAGUUUUCAAAUAUACGCAAAGUAAUUUAUAUAUAUUCUAGCAUGUGAAAUAGUGCAUGACACUCAUCUGUUGAAUAAAUGAAUGAAUAACUAUAUAAUACAUAUUCAGGAUCUAGAUUAAAGUAAGUUUUAAAGCAAAAUCAACAGAAAUUAAGAACUUAAAUCAUAUUUAUUUUUAAAUUUUAAAUUGACUAUUGAAGUAUUUUGAAACAGAAAUAAAACCACCAUUUUAAAACAAAAUGUUAGAAAUAUGUAGUUUUCCUUUACUUAAAAAGAAAAAAAAGUAGCUUAUACUAAUGGAAAAAAAACAUAUCACACAUAACAAUAUAACUAACUGUAAACAAUUUGUUUCUUAGGUAUCUUUCAAGAAAAAUAACACACAUAUUCGUGCGGUUGUUUGUGUGUGAAUAUGUGUGUGUGUGUUGUGGGUAUUACUGUGUUUACAUGUUGUAUUUUACAAAGACAACAGUGUUCAAACUAUAUACAUAGUUAUUUUCCUUGGGUUUUUCACUGAAAAAAUUAAAAAUAUGUUCACAUGAACACAUAAAAAAAUUUUAAAUUUUUAUGGCUGUAUAAAUUCCAUUUUGUAGAUGAUGUGUAAUGUAAUCACCCCACAAAUACAGUCUGAUUUUAGGAAUCUAACAUUGCUUGUAAGAAUUCUGCUUUCAUCAAAUCACUGGUUUCUUUCAAAAACUUGCAAUUGCUUAACUGUCAUAUUAAUCCACAAAUUCCCUUAGGCCUUGAGAGUAAGUCCUCCCCUACCCUAAAAAAAUCAAAUACUCUUUUCUAGUAUUGCAAACAUUCAGUCUAUUUCAGUAGCAACUACCUCAUGAUUUUCUACACUUUUAUACAUUUUCCAUCCUUGCUUAUUUUCAUCUUUUUAGCUACACAAAUUCCUCUAUCAGGGCACCUCAAGGCCUUUCUCCUACAUAAUAAAACCUUCUCUAGAUAUGAAGCCCAUAACCAUUUCCAUUGUAUUUUUGGUCUGUUUCAUGUGUUCUACAACUUAAAUAUUUUCUAAAAAUAUCACAUGUAUUAGGUAUUGAUCUUCUGAAACAGAAAGAAUACUAGAACAAGAGGCAGACAGAUUUGUUCUAAUGCUAGCUUUGUUUAAUUCCUAGGAUCUGAUUUCUAGUGUUGCUUCUUUCCCCAAAUCAUUUUUAAGGUCCUUGAAAAUAGGCAAAUUACUCUUAUAUUUCUCAUGAACACACUUUCAUAUGAAGGUCAUCAAUAAGAGUUGUUGAUGGAGUGAAUGAGUGAAAACAUACAUUUAAAAAUAAACAACUUUUUAAAAAUUUUGUUAAUUUUUUGAGUAACACAAUGAAUGAUACAUAAUUAAUGGUUUUUACAUACCAAAGCCUUUUUCUACUUUUUUUUUGUUUUUAUAGUGUUAAUUUGCACUAAUUGCAUUAAUUUAUGAUUUUAUUUUAAAGGAUAUAUUUGCAUAUAGGUUUUUAACCCUAAACCUUUUAUACACACACUCACUCACACAGACUCUCUAAGGGUAUGGUGGAGAUAAGAGGAGACAGAAAAAGAGAAAAAGAUGAUGUUUUCAAAAGGAUCAUUUUUAUUGUCAGCCUGGCAUCCUCCUUUCCUGCAGAAACAAAGUUCCCUAACGUCUCUUUGUCAGGUGAAAAACUUUCAGAUUAUUCUAAAAUUGCUGGGGAUAGAUUAUACGAAACUUUGAAAGCAACACUGUAAUUCAGAGUGUAGACUCACAUGCACUAAGUAUAACAGCAUUAGAAGUUGAAAUUUACUCAUAGGAGAUUAUAGUUAUCAAAAUAUGAUGAGAAAAAGACAAACUGUGAUUGAUCAUCUCAUGCUUUAUCUACAGAGAACAAAAUGUUAAAAUAUUGGAGAAUAUAUUAACAAUUUAUUCCAUUAAAUUUAUAUUUUAAAUGAUUUGUAAUAUUAAUAUAGAAAAAUAAUAAAUAAAAGCAAAUAUAGCUUAGGUUAGAUUUACCAAAAGUCAUGCAAAUCAUGCCCUUGUCCACAUGAUUUCAAUUUAGCUGACCUAUGUUUUUGAAAAGUAAAACAAACAGAACAAGAUAAAUUGAUGUGUUAGAUAUGGUAGGUUUAUAAGCACAGGAAAAUGACAAAUUUCUUUGAAAACAAUAGUAAAGAUUCCAUUCAGCCAGGAAACUAUUGAGCACAUGGAAAAUAAAAGCACUUGAGUUGUAUCGAAGAGUACUCAAUUAUACCAUUUUCCCCAUCUUGUCACAGGUGUAAUGAGAACAUGCUAUGUUUGUAUGACUACCAGAAUGACAAUGCUUUCUAGAAUUCUAUAAUUUUACCACAUUAUUCAGCUUCUAAAUGAUGUUUCACAUCUGAUUUCACCUAUGGACAAGGUGAAUGAAAGCCAGUAUCCAGGUAUGCUUCUAUAUCCUUUUAAUCUACAUUAAAACUGCCUCCAUGACUUACCAGCUCCUCAGAGUGUUUCAGGACAUGACUUGACUCAGGACACAUUGAACCUGGAGAGCUUCCCAUCCCCCCAAAUAAUGGCAUUAUCCCCCAAAUAAUGACAAAUACGAAUAUUUUCUCUGGAAGAAAAGGGGUCCUAAAUAUUAAGAAGGUAGUAAUAAAGAAAGGAUCUAUUUUGAGACCUAACAAUACCCAACUGGUGAUCAGAUACCAGUGGGAAUUAUUAAAGAUGAUAUGUUGUUUUCCCUGAAUUACAACAGAGGAAAUUUUUCCUGGUAUUGCAUAAUUAUAGAAACUGACAUGUUUACUUAUGGACAACAGUAAAGAGAAGCAAUAUAAAACCACUAUCAGGUCUUGAGUAUUCUAAUGUGAAAACUUACUUGCAGAGUAUUAAAAAGCAUGAAAUACAAAAACAUAUGUAAGAUUUACUGUAAACUAACUUUAGGCCUGGUAUUAUUUUAAAGGCAACUAGGCCUAUGAAAACAGAAGACAUGAAGGUAUAAAAUUAGGUUACUAUGUUUUCCUUUAUUUCCUUGUUCCCACCUCCAGUUCUAAGACACUAUUCCUAUAGAGUAUUCCCUUUGCUUGCUUUCAUAUGCAAUCAAAAAUAUAUUUUUCAAUAAUAUUAGCAGACUAGAGCUGUAUAGACAGCUAUUCUAUUGAAUACUCAUUUUCAGAUCACUGGUGCUUCACGAAGGAGUCCAAUAUAAUCCAUUUGCUGAUUCUGCAUAUGCCCCUGUCUUCAGAGAAAUGUGCCUAAAAUUAUCUCCAGAUUCUUUUUUCCCAUAGGCACGGAGUGCAGUUCAGAUUAGUGGCUUCAGCAGCUGUAUGUGAGAGAAGUAUGCCCAUCUUUUCUUUGUUUGGAUGUUCGCAAGUUCCCUUAUUUCAUGAUCUCAAGUAGGAAUUCUAUGAAUUCCUGCAUCAUCUAAGACCUUGCAUUCCAGUCUACUGGCUCAGCACCAGGUGUGUUUGAUUUGUUUUUUAGGAGUAUCCUACGUGAACUUUUUAAUCUUCCUCAAAGUUCCCAUAGAAGUUUCCAUGAUUUAGUAUGCAAGAUGAGAAUAGUUUUAUUUUGCAGUUAUCUAGGGCCAAUCUACUUGACCACACAGCAAGACCACUGGGCUUGAGAGCCUGUGAACAUCUGAAGAUAUCACUGAGGCUGUGAGCUGAAUUCCACCUGCAAGGCUAAAUAUGGGACACUUGAUAACAUCUGUCAUAUGGAUGGAUUUCCCCUUUAUCUUCUUCAACAGAGUUUUACUGUCUUCAGGAGUUAUUACAACUGAUUUGCAAGCAAAAACAUGGCCUUCAUUCUAGAAACCUCAUCAGUAAUCCAAAUAGCCUCUUUUAAUUUGCCCAGGAAUUAAUCAAAUACUCUAGAUCUGGCUGUUCAAUUAGCAGCCACUAGACAUAACUGAUUAUGUUAGCUAACCUCUCUUUCCUUUUUAUUUCUUUUUUUCUUCUUCUUUUUGUUAUUCUCUUUCUCAUUUUCAUGGUUUCUGUAGAGCAUAUAAUAUGCAACUUUAUAUUAUCUCAUUCUAGUACCUUCAACUAUCAUACCAUUUCAUAUAAAACAAAAAAAAUUGUAUCUUCCUCCUCUCCUUUGUACUAUUGUCAAAUGUCAAACUUCUAUUUGUACAUACAAUAAAUGUAACAAAAUGCCAUUACAAAUUCAUUUAACAUUUCUAUUUAUAAGCAGCUGAUUGCCAAGAAGUCUUUAAUUUUUUUGUGUGCUUAAAAAUUAUCUCAGAGAGUUCCUGUUGUGCAUCAGUGGUUAACAAACCUGACUAGUAUGCAUGAGGAUGUGAGUUCGAUCCCUGGCCCCGCUCAAUGGCUUAAGGAUUUGGCUUUGCCCUUAGCUGUGGUGUAGGUCACAGAUGUGGCUCAGAUCUGAUUUUGCUGUGACUGUGGUAUAGACCAGGAUCUACUGCUCUUAUUCAACCCCUAGUCUGGGAACUUUCAUAUGCUGUGGGUGAAG